rnacentral:tRNA from 1 species
GGGUGUCUAGCUCAGCGGUAGAGUGCAUGCUUAGCAUGCACGAGGUCGUGGGUUCAAUCCCCAGUACCUCCA